ACUGAAUUGGGUCAUUUCUAUGUUCUUUUUGAUUCCUUCUAGUUUGUUUCAUACACUGGCCUGUGUUGACUUUUCUUUGAGUUCUGUGCUGUUGUCCCUGAAUGGUGGGGUCCUCAGAUGUACUAUCCAUAUUGUAUUCCGGUGCGGGAACAUUUUCCCCAACUGCAAAGGAUUGGGCACCUCUACUAACCAGUUUAUACGUGGGACGCCUACCACAGCAUGGCUGCCAAGCAGUGCCAUGUCCGCACCCAGGAUCCGAACCAGCGAACCCCGGGCCGCCGAGAAGCGGAACGUGCGAACUUUACCGCUGCGCCACCGGGCUGGCCCCGACACAGGAACAAUUUUAAUGGAUGAUGACAUCUUGAAGGAGAUUAACGUGUUUGUAGCCAGAAUGCAAUGACAGAGCCAGUAGGGCUGGCUGUGUGGCAGGAAGUAUAGGUGAGACUGGGAGGCUGCAGGAACAGAUUGCAGACUGAAGGCUGCCUGUGAGGGGAAAAGCUGGAAGGGAGUGGACACCGCAGAAAGGAG
rnacentral:lncRNA from 1 species